rnacentral:rRNA from 1 species
AUUGAACGCUAGCGGCAGGCCUAACACAUGCAAGUCGAACGAGUGGCGGACGGGUGAGUAAUGUAUGGGAACCUGCCUGAUGGCGGGGGAUAACUACUGGAAACGGUAGCUAAUACCGCAUACCAUCAGAUGUGCCCAGAUGGGAUUAGCUUGUUGGUGGGGUAACGGCUCACCAAGGCGACGAUCCCUAGCUGGUAUGAGAGGAUGACCAGCCACACUGGAACUGAGACACGGGCCAGACUCCUACGGGAGGCAGCAGUGGGGAAUAUUGCACAAUGGGCGCAAGCCUGAUUCAGCCAUGCCGCGUGUAUGAAGAAGGCCUUCGGGUUGUAAAGUACUUUCAGCGGGGAGGCGUUACCCGCAGAAGAAGCACCGGCUAACUACGUGCCAGCAGCCGCGGUAAUAC